rnacentral:lncRNA from 1 species
CGAGAAGGGGUUUUUAAGAAGAGAUUUGGUGGCAUAGGCUCUGCGCUUAUGAAUGAAUGAAUGCUUUCAUCACAACAGUCUGUACAUGCAUAGAGGGAAGGUCUGCAGUCCGCUGACUAUGUUUACCUCAAGGAAAUUGGCCUGGAGGAAGUAUGGGGUAAGAUCAUUUUUAUUUAUACUAUUUUGAAUUGUGCAAUAUUUGUUCCAAUAACAUGUACUUUGCAAGUGAAAAAAAUCUAAUAAAAACUCAGGAAAGGUAUUUUUACUUUUUUCUUUGUAUCAUAUUCUCUCCAGAAAAGAAUGUGCAUUAAAAAAUGCUUAAAGGCAAGGCCAGGGAUGUAACUCAAUGGCACAGCACCUGCCUGGCAAGCAGAAGGUCCUGAGUUCGAG